GGGGGUGUAGCUCAGCGGCGAGAGCGGCGGCUCGUCACGCCGAAGGUCGCGGGUUCGAGUCCCGUCAUCCCCGCCA
rnacentral:tRNA from 1 species